UAGUUCAGUGGUAGAGUACUUGUCUAGCAAGCAUGAGGUUCUGGGUUCAAUCCCCAG
rnacentral:tRNA from 1 species